CAGCCGCCGCGGUAAUACGUAGGUGGCAAGCGUUGUCCGGAAUUACUGGGCGUAAAGCGUGCGCAGGCGGUUUUGUAAGACAGGCGUGAAAUCCCCGGGCCCAACCUGGGAAUGGCGCUUGUGACUGCAAAGCUAGAGUGCGGCAGAGGGGGAUGGAAUUCCGCGUGUAGCAGUGAAAUGCGUAGAUAUGCGGAGGAACACCGAUGGCGAAGGCAAUCCCCUGGGCCUGCACUGACGCUCAUGCACGAAAGCGUGGGGAGCAAACAGGAUUAGAUACCCCCGUAGUCCCUGUCUCUUAUAC
rnacentral:rRNA from 1 species